rnacentral:tRNA from 1 species
GCCCAGUUGGAAGAGCGUGUGACUCUUGAUCCCAGGGUCGUGAGUUCAAGCCCCACACUGGGCA